rnacentral:rRNA from 1 species
GGUUCAUUCAAAUUUCUGCCUAUCAACUUUCGAUGGUAAGGUAUUGGCUUACCAUGGUUUCAACGGGUAACGGGAAUUAGGGUUCGAUUCCGGAGAGGGAGCCUGAGAAACGGCUACCACAUCCAAGGAAGGCAGCAGGCGCGCAAAUUACCCAAUCCCGACCGGGGAGGUAGUGACAAUAAAUACUGAUACAGGGCUCUUUUGGGUCUUGUAAUCGGAAUGAGUACAAUUUAAACCCCUUAACGAGGAACAAUUGGAGGGCAAGUCUGGUGCCAGCAGCCGGGUAAUUCCAGCUCCAAUAGCGUAUAUUAAAGUUGUUGCAGUUAAAAGCUCGUAGUUG